rnacentral:rRNA from 1 species
AUUGAACGCUGGCGGCAUGCCUAACACAUGCAAGUCGAACGGGGGCAGCGAUGCUCUAGUGGCGGACGGGUGAGGAAUGCGUAGGAAUCGGCCCACGAGUGGGGGACAACCUGGGGAAACUCAGGCUAAUACCGCAUGAGCUCGUAAGAGGAAAGCGGGGGAUCUUCGGACCUCGCGCUGGUGGACGAGCCUACGUCCGAUUGGCUGGUUGGUGAGGUAAAGGCUCACCAAGGCGACGAUCGGUAGCGGGUCUGAGAGGACGACCCGCCACACUGGGACUGAGACACGGCCCAGACUCCUACGGGAGGCAGCAGUGGGGAAUAUUGGACAAUGGGCGCAAGCCUGAUCCAGCAAUGCCGCGUGGGUGAAGACGGCCUGCGGGUUGUAAAGCCCUUUAGGCGGGGAGGAACGACCGGACGCUAACAUCGUCUGGAAGAGACGUUACCCGCAGAAUAAGCACCGGCUAACUCCGUGCAGCCGCCGCGGUAAUAC